rnacentral:rRNA from 1 species
CCUACGGGGAGCAGCAGUGAGGAAUAUUGGUCAAUGGUCGGGAGACUGAACCAGCCAAGCCGCGUGAGGGAUGAAGGUACAGAGUAUCGUAAACCUCUUUUGUCAGGGAACAAAGGCGGGGACGUGUCCCCGGAUGAGUGUACCUGAAGAAAAAGCAUCGGCUAACUCCGUGCCAGCAGCCGCGGUAAUACGGAGGAUGCGAGCGUUAUCCGGAUUUAUUGGGUUUAAAGGGUGCGUAGGCGGUCCGUUAAGUCAGCGGUAAAAUUGCGGGGCUCAACCCCGUCGAGCCGUUGAAACUGGCAGACUUGAGUUGGCGAGAAGUACGCGGAAUGCGCGGUGUAGCGGUGAAAUGCAUAGAGAUCAUACAGAACACCGAUUGCGAAGGCAGCUUACCAAGCUACUUCUGACGUUGAGGCACGAAAGCGUGGGGAGCAAACAGGAUUAGAUACCCCAGUAGUC